CGACCGGCGCACGGGUGAGUAACACGUAUCCAACCUGCCGUCUACUCUUGGACAGCCUUCUGAAAGGAAGAUUAAUACAAGAUGGCAUCAUGAGUCCGCAUGUUUACAUGAUUAAAGGUAUUCCGGUAGACGAUGGGGAUGCGUUCCAUUAGAUAGUAGGCGGGGUAACGGCCCACCUAGUCUUCGAUGGAUAGGGGUUCUGAGAGGAAGGUCCCCCACAUUGGAACUGAGACACGGUCCAAACUCCUACGGGAGGCAGCAUG
rnacentral:rRNA from 1 species